rnacentral:rRNA from 1 species
UACAGAGGUCUCAAGCGUUGUUCGGAUUCAUUGGGCGUAAAGGGUGCGUAGGUGGCGCCGUAAGUCGGGUGUGAAAUUUCGGAGCUUAACUCCGAAACUGCAUUCGAUACUGCCGUGCUUGAGGACUGGAGAGGAGACUGGAAUUUACGGUGUAGCGGUGAAAUGCGUAGAUAUCGAUAAGGAAGACCAGUGGCGAAGGCGGGU